rnacentral:rRNA from 1 species
GACGGGGGGUGCAAGCGUUAUCCGGAAUCACUGGGCGUAAAGCGUCUGUAGGUGGUGAUGCAAGUCACUGGUGAAAAACUCUGGCUCAACCGGAGGAAAGCCAGUGAAACUGCAUGACUAGAGUGUGGGAGAGGUAGAAGGAAUUCCCUGAGUAGCGGUGAAAUGCGUAGAUACAGGGAAGAACACCGGAGGCGAAAGCGUUCUACUGGAACACAACUGACACUGAGAGACGAAAGCUAGGGGAGCGAAUGGG